UGAUAUCACUGCACUGUUACAUCAAGAGCAACAUAGUUUGGAGUCCCAUAGGACCAUCUUCCUAAAUUUACAAAGAAUUCAAAUGUAAAUAACCAAGAACAUAUAAAACCUUUUCAUGUCUGAAGCUUGCUGCACAUGUACACGCACCGCUUGUUGAUAAGGGUGUUCACGAGGCGGUUCGGUUCGGAUAGUAAUAAAAUUGUGAACUGUGACCACGGGGCGGGUACCUAAUGCGCACUAACCGAAACCGAACUGUAUUGAUAAAAAAAGCUGAACCGUAUGAAAGCGGGUAACCAUGGUUCGGUUCACGGGUACCCAGUAAAAUAUAAAGAAUUAAAUUCAAUUGAAGCUACAAACUCCAUUUUAGUUAUCUCUUUCUUAAAAUUAGUAAGUCAAAGAGUUUAAAAAAACAUAAUGAAGUUUAAAAAUCGUAAUGAAAUUCAAAUAUCAUAUAUUCUAAGUUGUAUAAUAAAUACAAUAAUAAAAAUAACAAGAAAAGCGAAUGAAUUUAGAAUUACAAAAUUGGAGUUGUCGAUAUGAAUUUUUGUUUAGGUUAUUGGACUCGUAGAUUGAUCAAACAAUACUAAUGAAAUAAUAGUUUUNUAUAUAUAUAUAUAUAUAUAUUAUCAAACGGUUCGGUUCGGGUAUCCGCGGAUACCUAAAUAUGAAAACCAAAAAUCGACCUGUUGAUAUCCGGUUUUUUCGGUUUUGGUUUUUUUCAGUUACGGUUUUUUUCGGUUUCGGUUUUUUUGGUUUCGGAUUGAACGAUUCGGCUCGGUUUUUCAGUUUUGCGGUUUUUUUUGCACACCCCUACUUGUUGAGACCCAAAGUCUGAAACUUUUAGAAUACCAUAUGAGUCCAUUAAUAGAUUUUCAGGCUGCAAUAAAUUCAAAGCUUAAUAACCUCAAGCGCAAUUAUUGACUAUUUCAAUACCAAUUGUAGCUUAAAAAAGGCUUCCAAAUUCAUUAGUCUGAUAUGAACAAAGCCUUUUCUUUAACUACUGAGAUUUUUCCAUUUCAUCCAUGCUUAUGCAUUUCUAGUAUUAAUGAAAAAUUGUUCUUUGGACCUGAUUGCAACAAGGGAGAAAGAAUGGUACUUAGUUUGUGUUGGAGAUUAAAAUACUCAAUUGGUUUUAAUGACAAAUAAUGAGUUAUGUUUUCUUGCGAAAGUUUUGCUGGUGGUAAAUGGAGUUGAGGGGCACCUUUUAAUAGACACUAAAAUAGCAAACAUAACACCUUUAUGACUAAUGUGGAUGAAUUGUAUAUCAAAAAGUUACCAAUUAAAAAAACAACAUUUACCUCAAAAAGAGCCACCUUUUUCUCAACCAUGGAGUCAGGAUCAUCACUUCUCUGUAUUUCCCUCUCAUGACCUGUAACCUGAUUAUCAAUUUUAGUAGCAACGACAAGUAAAUCUUCGAUCACAUGCUUCUUUCCAAAACACCUCUUCUACCGGAUAGAACGAAUGAAAUAUACAAGAAACAUUGUAAGAUAAAAUCAAGAGCCAAGCUUCCAAAUCAUUACCCAGCUGCUUUAUUUAACGACUUGAUGCCAAAAUUUAGUUCCGCACUACUUUUCAUCAUCUUAAUACAUGAAAAAUAUUAGUUGAAUUAAAAUAAGUUAAUAUAAAAGUGAAACCAUAUUAUGAAAACUGAAGUUGGACAUAGUUUAUAGCAUCUUUAAACCUCCGAUACACAUGUAGCUUCUAAAUGUGGACGACAAGCAGAGGUGGCAGAAAACUGCAUAAGCAGGCAAGUAGGAUGUAGCGAGAAUAUGCAAGGCAGGCAGGCAAGUGUAUGAAGAGGAAAAGGGUAGAAAGCUUAAAUAGAUGAAGAGUAGAAAAAAUCCUUUCAAUAUUACUCCCUUUCUUAAAUAGCUAUGGUGAGAAGUAGGAGAAGCAAAGUGUGUCAAUAUCUCAAUUACUGGAUUAAAAGUAAGAAAAUAAUUUGUUACCUUAUGGUUCAGUUCCAAGGAGAAAAAGAAAAAGUCACUGAAGAGAAGAAGAUGGUGUUAGAGAAUGGUAGCAUCGAUAUCUCCAUUCGAUUCUUCGGUUUCAUGGGUUUUCUAGUAAGAGAAAAUAAAAGAAUGAGAGAAAAAAAGAAGGAUGAGAAAAAUGGAGAACCGAAAUCAAAAGGGAACGAC
rnacentral:lncRNA from 1 species